rnacentral:rRNA from 1 species
UACGUAGGGUGCAAGCGUUAAUCGGAAUUACUGGGCGUAAAGCGUGCGCAGGCGGCUUUGCAAGACAGAUGUGAAAUCCCCGGGCUUAACCUGGGAACUGCAUUUGUGACUGCAUGGCUGGAGUGCGGCAGAGGGGGAUGGAAUUCCGCGUGUAGCAGUGAAAUGCGUAGAUAUGCGGAGGAACACCGAUGGCGAAGGCAAUCCGCUGGGCCGGCACUGACGCUCAUGCACGAAAGCGUGGGGAGCAAACAGG